AUCCUUUUGUGGUUCAUAAGCAUGAUGAUUGGGUUUUAACACUAUUGUGUGAGAUGUGCCUGCCCCUGGACCUUGUUAUGAAGUUGGAGGAUGUGCCCUCUGAUG